rnacentral:rRNA from 1 species
UACAGGAUUCCCUCAGUAACGGCGAAGCGAAGUGGGAAGAGCUCGAGCCUGAAAUCCCUGGCAGGUACUGUCAGGGAAUUGUGGCCGGGAGAGGCAACUAGGCCCUGACCGAUGCUGUCAAAGUUGACCUGGAAAGGCGCGUCAUAGAGGGUGAGAGCCCCGUGUGUGACACCAUUGAUCAGGGCGUUAUUGCCUUCGGAGAGUCGGGUUGUUUGGGAAUGCAGCCCAAAGUGGGUGGUAAACUCCAUCUAAAGCUAAAUACUGGCACGAGACCGAUAGCAAACAAGUACCGUGAGGGAAAGGUGAAAAGUACUUUGAAAAGAGAGUCAAAAAGACCGCGAAACCGUUAGGAGGGAAGCGAAUGCAGCUGAAUUAGCUCUGCUCAAGCUCAGGAGCGAUGUCGAUUGGCGAUGCCAGCGUUCAAAAGCCGAUAGGCUUUGUCGUUCUGGAUAGCUGUCGACUCCUCUGCACUCUUGUGCGAGCUGGCCAACAACAGUUGCUCGUGGCUGAGAAGGGCAGUUGGGUAGGUACUUACCUCUCGUAGGUAAAACUUAUAGCCAUCUGUCUGGAAGUCUGCGGGUGACUGAGGAUAACUUGGCAGCGUAGGCCUUCGGGUUUGGGCCACUUCUGGUCGUUUGGGCACCGCUUCAGGGACUGCGUGCAGUGUCUGCUGACGGCUGUCUGCUCGGACGGGAGACCGGUCACACCUUGCGCUGUAGUUGUUGGUGAUCAAAUGGCUGCAUCCGACCCGUCUUGAAACACGGACCAAGGAGUGCAACAUGCGUGCGAGUCUUUGGGUGGCAAACCCAGCGGCGCAAUGAAAGUGAAGGCAGGCGUUGGUCUGCUGANGCGAGAGUCCUCUCACGGGGACACAUCGUCAACCGAUCCUAAGUCACGCUGUGGCGGGAUUUGAAUGAAAACGUGCCUGUUGCGACCCAAAAAGGUGAACUAUGCCUGAAUAGGUGAAGCCAAAGAAACUCUGGUGAAACUCGUAACGAUUCUGACGUGCAAAUCCAUCGUCAAUUUGGGUAUAGGGGCGAAAACUAAUCCAACCUCUAGUACCUGGUCCCCCC